rnacentral:rRNA from 1 species
AGUGAACGCUGGCGGCAGGCCUAACACAUGCAAGUCGAACGGCAGCACAGCAGUAGCAAUACUGUGGGUGGCGAGUGGCGGACGGGUGAGGAAUACAUGGGAAUCUACCCUGUCGUGGGGGAUAACGUAGGGAAACUUACGCUAAUACCGCAUACGACCGAGAGGUGAAAGCGGCGGACCGCAAGGCGUCGCGCGAUUGGAUGAGCCCAUGUCGGAUUAGCUAGUUGGCGGGGUAAAGGCCCACCAAGGCGACGAUCCGUAGCUGGGCUGAGGGAAUGAUCAGCCACACUGGAACUGAGACACGGUCUAGACUCCUCCGGGAGGAAGCAGUGGGGAAUAUUGGACAAUGGGCGCAAGCCUGAUCCAGCCAUGCCGCGUGAGUGAAGAAGGCCUUCGGGUUGUAAAGCUCUUUUGUCCGGAAAGAAAAGCUCUCGGUUAAUACCCGGGGGUGAUGACGGUACCGGAAGAAUAAGCACCGGCUAACUUCGUGCCAGCAGCCGCCGUAAAAC